GUCCCGUGUGGCUCAGUUGGUAGAGCAUGGCGGUUCCCACAGGAGACCAGUCCGAAAAAGUAGGAAAAAUGUGUGCUCUGGAAAUCGCUCUGGAUAAAGAGCGGCUGCUAAAUGACAACCAACAACAACAUGUACCAGGAGAAAGACAAACUACUUUUUUUUCAAUCAAAUAACAGUUACAGUAAGUCAAUCGCAAUUGAAAGAAGUAACUUCUCAACGGCAAGUGCACUUACUUCGUUUCCAGAGCGAGGUGGAAUUCCAACCAGGCAAAAGACCUAUUUAAUCCAGGCUGAAUCACAUCCGGCCCUGGUUGGGAGUCCCAUAGUGCGGCGCACAAUUGGCACAGCGUCGUCCGGGAGCGCUGUGAUAGGCAUCUGUGGGAGAAUCAUCAUGCCUGGAGCAAGAGUGUGUGUGCUGCACGUGGUCGCUGGAGCGAGACACACUCCAAUGCUGAUGUUAGCCGACAUUCCCCUCAGGCCAGAGAAUGGAGCAUGCGUAGAGACAGUUGUUGUCGUCCCCCGUCCCCCCCUCACACACACACUGUUUCAAAGACAGAGGACGAGACAGAGCAACAGAGGCAGCAUUCAUCUGAUGAAGAUGAUUUCUCCUCAUCACUGAUGCCCAGAAGGUCACAAGACACAGGGUGGCUGGAUGGGUACGUUGCCUGUGUGUCAGACAAGAAGGACUUGCUUCAUUCCUUUCCAUACAUCAAUAAGCGGUCCCUGAAACUGAACACAGGCCUGCCUGCCGCCCGUGAACGUCUUUUGUUUUAGCUUUGUUGGACUGGUCUUCACUGCAAGGCGAGCCAGUAUAGGCUUGAUUCACUUUGGAAAUCAGCGCCGGCUGAAACUGAACAGCCAGUUCAGAGAGAAAGUGAAAGCAUUAGAACAAAAGUCAUUUGUUUAUGCGCGAGGAACACUACAUAAUCUAAUGUACUCUAAUGCAACAUAUGUAGCCCUUGCUCUAUGUCAGGGGGGUUUGCUCGAUACAUUUUUAUUUCCAGGAUGUUCUGUUGUUGCCUCCAGAGCUCGUUUGACAUCAAAUCCUUUAGGUAUGUUCACUGUGUAAUUCAUCAGUACAUUUUAAGAGAUUUUAAUGUUGGAUUUAUUUUUCAAAUAUUAGUAAUAUUGACAAAUCCUUCCUGUUUUGUAUACAGACGUGCCUUGUACUCAAAUACAUUAAAUGAGUUCAUACUGUA